GAUGAACGCUGGCGGCGUGCUUAACACAUGCAAGUCGAACGGGAAGUAGUUUAGUGUAACUUCCGGCGAUUUAAUUUAAUUCUAGGGGCGGAAGGGGGAGUAACGCGUGGGUAAACUGGCUUAUACAGGGGGAUAACAGGCAGAAAUGGCUGAUAAUACCGCAUAAGAGGACAGAGCAGCAUGAGUCAGUGUGGAAGCCUCCGGUUGGAUAAGAUGGAACGGCGUUGGAUUAGCUGGUUGGUAGGGUAACGGCCCCCCACGGCGACGAGCCAUACCCUGGCUGAGAGGCUGAGCCGCCACUUUGGCACUGGGCCACAGCCCAGACUCCUCCGCGAUGCAGCAGUGGGGAAUAUUGCACCAUCGCGUGAGUCCUGAUGCAGCGACGCCGCGUGAAGGCAGAAGUAUCUCGGUAUGUAAACUUCUAUCAGCAGGGAAGAUAGUGACGGUACCUGACUAAGAAGCCCCGGCUAACUACGUG
rnacentral:rRNA from 1 species